rnacentral:rRNA from 1 species
CAGGUGCUGCAUGGCUGUCGUCAGCUCGUGUCGUGAGAUGUUGGGUUAAGUCCCGCAACGAGCGCAACCCUUGUCAUUAGUUGCUACGAAAGGGCACUCUAAUGAGACUGCCGGUGACAAACCGGAGGAAGGUGGGGAUGACGUCAAGUCCUCAUGGCCCUUAUAGGUGGGGCUACACACGUCAUACAAUGGCUGGUACAGAGGGUUGCCAACCCGCGAGGGGGAGCUAAUCCCAUAAAACCAGUCGUAGUCCGGAUCGCAGUCUGCAACUCGACUGCGUGAAGUCGGAAUCGCUAGUAAUCGCGGAUCAGCAUGUCGCGGUGAAUACGUUCCCGGGUCUUGUACACACCGCCCGUCACACCAUGGGAUCCGGGUUCUGCCAGAAGUAGUUAGCCUAAC